UACGUAGGGGGCGAGCGUUGUCCGGAAUUAUUGGGCGUAAAGAGCUUGUAGGCGGUUUGUCGCGUCUGCUGUGAAAUUUCGGGGCUCAACCCCGAACUUGCAGUGGGUACGGGCAGACUAGAGUGUGGUAGGGGAGACUGGAAUUCCUGGUGUAGCGGUGAAAUGCAUUGAGAUCGGAAAGAACACCAACGGCGAAAGCACUCUGCUGGGCCGACACUGACACUGAGAGACGAAAGCUAGGGGGAGCAAAUGGG
rnacentral:rRNA from 1 species